AGGCCAUGAUGUGGACACUUGCGUAAUAGCUCCUUGAACCUUUCCCAAGUUUCAUAUAAGGAUUCCCCGUCCUAUUCCCCGUCCUCUUGUGAAUAUGUAU
rnacentral:snoRNA from 1 species